rnacentral:rRNA from 1 species
ACGGGAGGCAGCAGUGGGGAAUAUUGCACAAUGGGCGCAAGCCUGAUGCAGCGACGCCGCGUGAAGGAUGAAGUAUUUCGGUAUGUAAACUUCUAUCAGCAGGGAAGAAAAUGACGGUACCUGACUAAGAAGCCCCGGCUAACUACGUGCCAGCAGCCGCGGUAAUACGUAGGGGGCAAGCGUUAUCCGGAUUUACUGGGUGUAAAGGGAGCGUAGAUGGCGAUGUAAGUCUGAAGUGAAAGCCCGGGGCUCAACCCCGGGACUGCUUUGGAAACUGUGUUGCUAGAGUGCAGGAGAGGUAAGCGGAAUUCCUAGUGUAGCGGUGAAAUGCGUAGAUAUUAGGAGGAACACCAGUGGCGAAGGCGAUCUACUGGACGAUAACUGACGCUGAGGCGCGAAAGCGUGGGGAGCAAACAGGAUUAGAUACCCUGGUA